UUUGGUUAAGUUAGAAAGGGCGCACGGUGGAUGCCUUGACACUAGGAGUCGAUGAAGGACGGGACUAACGCCGAUAUGCUUCGGGGAGCUGUAAGUAAGCUUUGAUCCGAAGAUUUCCGAAUGGGGAAACCCACCAUACGUAAUGGUAUGGUAUCCUUAUCUGAAUACAUAGGGUAAGGAAGACAGACCCAGGGAACUGAAACAUCUAAGUACCUGGAGGAAGAGAAAGCAAAUGCGAUUUCCUGAGUAGCGGCGAGCGAAACGGAACAUAGCCCAAACCAAGAGGCUUGCCUCUUGGGGUUGUAGGACAUUCUAUACGGAGUUACAAAGGAACGAGGUAGACGAAGCGACCUGGAAAGGUCCGUCGUAGAGGGUAACAACCCCGUAGUCGAAACUUCGUUCUCUCUUGAAUGUAUCCUGAGUACGGCGGAACACGUGAAAUUCCGUCGGAAUCUGGGAGGACCAUCUCCCAAGGCUAAAUACUCCCUAGUGAUCGAUAGUGAACCAGUACCGUGAGGGAAAGGUGAAAAGCACCCCGGAAGGGGAGUGAAAGAGAUCCGAAACCGUGUGCCUACAAAUAGUCAGAGCCCGUUAACGGGUGAUGGCGUGCCUUUUGUAGAAUGAACCGGCGAGUUACGAUCCCGUGCGAGGUUAAGCUGAAGAGGCGGAGCCGCAGCGAAAGCGAGUCUGAAUAGGGCGUUUAGUACGUGGUCGUAGACCCGAAACCAGGUGAUCUACCCAUGUCCAGGGUGAAGUUCAGGUAACACUGAAUGGAGGCCCGAACCCACGCACGUUGAAAAGUGCGGGGAUGAGGUGUGGGUAGCGGAGAAAUUCCAAUCGAACCUGGAGAUAGCUGGUUCUCCCCGAAAUAGCUUUAGGGCUAGCCUUAAGUGUAAGAGUCUUGGAGGUAGAGCACUGAUUGGACUAGGGGUCCUCAUCGGAUUACCGAAUUCAGUCAAACUCCGAAUGCCAAUGACUUAUCCUUAGGAGUCAGACUGCGAGUGAUAAGAUCCGUAGUCAAAAGGGAAACAGCCCAGACCGCCAGCUAAGGUCCCAAAGUGUGUAUUAAGUGGAAAAGGAUGUGGAGUUGCUUAGACAACUAGGAUGUUGGCUUAGAAGCAGCCACCAUUUAAAGAGUGCGUAAUAGCUCACUAGUCGAGUGACUCUGCGCCGAAAAUGUACCGGGGCUAAAUACACCACCGAAGCUGCGGAUUGAUACCAAUGGUAUCAGUGGUAGGGGAGCGUUCUAAGGACAGUGAAGUCAGACCGGAAGGACUGGUGGAGUGCUUAGAAGUGAGAAUGCCGGUAUGAGUAGCGAAAGACGGGUGAGAAUCCCGUCCACCGAAUGCCUAAGGUUUCCUGAGGAAGGCUCGUCCGCUCAGGGUUAGUCAGGACCUAAGCCGAGGCCGACAGGCGUAGGCGAUGGACAACAGGUUGAUAUUCCUGUACCACCUCUUUAUCGUUUGAGCAAUGGAGGGACGCAGAAGGAUAGAAGAAGCGUGCGAUUGGUUGUGCACGUCCAAGCAGUUAGGCUGAUAAGUAGGCAAAUCCGCUUAUCGUGAAGGCUGAAGCUGUGAUGGGGAAGCUCCUUAUGGAGCGAAGUCUUUGAUUCCCCGCUGCCAAGAAAAGCUUCUAGCGAGAUAAAAGGUGCCUGUACCGCAAACCGACACAGGUAGGCGAGGAGAGAAUCCUAAGGUGUGCGAGAGAACUCUGGUUAAGGAACUCGGCAAAAUGACCCCGUAACUUCGGGAGAAGGGGUGCUUUCUUAACGGAAAGCCGCAGUGAAUAGGCCCAAGCGACUGUUUAGCAAAAACACAGCUCUCUGCGAAGCCGUAAGGCGAAGUAUAGGGGGUGACACCUGCCCGGUGCUGGAAGGUUAAGGAGAGGGGUUAGCGUAAGCGAAGCUCUGAACUGAAGCCCCAGUAAACGGCGGCCGUAACUAUAACGGUCCUAAGGUAGCGAAAUUCCUUGUCGGGUAAGUUCCGACCCGCACGAAAGGUGUAACGAUUUGGGCACUGUCUCAACCAGAGACUCGGUGAAAUUAUAGUACCUGUGAAGAUGCAGGUUACCCGCGACAGGACGGAAAGACCCCGUGGAGCUUUACUGUAGCCUGAUAUUGAAUUUUGGUACAGUUUGUACAGGAUAGGCGGGAGCCUUUGAAACCGGAGCGCUAGCUUCGGUGGAGGCGCUGGUGGGAUACCGCCCUGACUGUAUUGAAAUUCUAACCUACGGGUCUUAUCGACCCGGGAGACAGUGUCAGGUGGGCAGUUUGACUGGGGCGGUCGCCUCCUAAAGUGUAACGGAGGCGCCCAAAGGUUCCCUCAGAAUGGUUGGAAAUCAUUCGUAGAGUGCAAAGGCAUAAGGGAGCUUGACUGCGAGACCUACAAGUCGAGCAGGGACGAAAGUCGGGCUUAGUGAUCCGGUGGUUCCGCAUGGAAGGGCCAUCGCUCAACGGAUAAAAGCUACCCCGGGGAUAACAGGCUUAUCUCCCCCAAGAGUCCACAUCGACGGGGAGGUUUGGCACCUCGAUGUCGGCUCAUCGCAUCCUGGGGCUGUAGUCGGUCCCCAAGGGUUGGGCUGUUCGCCCAUUAAAGCGGUACGCGAGCUGGGUUCAGAACGUCGUGAGACAGUUCGGUCCCUAUCCGUCGUGGGCGUAGGAAAUUUGAGAGGAGCUGUCCUUAGUACGAGAGGACCGGGAUGGACGCACCGCUGGUGUACCAGUUGUUCUGCCAAGGGCAUAGCUGGGUAGCUAUGUGCGGAAGGGAUAAGUGCUGAAAGCAUCUAAGCAUGAAGCCCCCCUCAAGAUGAGAUUUCCCAUAGCGUAAGCUAGUAAGAUCCCUGAAAGAUGAUCAGGUUGAUAGGUUCGAGGUGGAAGCAUGGUGACAUGUGGAGCUGACGAAUACUAAUAGAUCGAGGACUUAACCAUAUAA
rnacentral:rRNA from 1 species